rnacentral:rRNA from 1 species
GACGAACGCUGGCGGCGUGCUUAACACAUGCAAGUCGAACGGAAAGGCCCUGCUUUUGUGGGGUGCUCGAGUGGCGAACGGGUGAGUAACACGUGAGUAACCUGCCCUUGACUUUGGGAUAACUUCAGGAAACUGGGGCUAAUACCGGAUAGGAGCUCCUGCUGCAUGGUGGGGGUUGGAAAGUUUCGGCGGUUGGGGAUGGACUCGCGGCUUAUCAGCUUGUUGGUGGGGUAGUGGCUUACCAAGGCUUUGACGGGUAGCCGGCCUGCGAGGGGGACCGGCCCCUAUGGACCUGUGGUCCGGCCAGACUCCUACGGGAGGCAGCGGUGGGGAAUAUUGCACCAUGGGCGGAAGCCUGAUGCAGCAACGCCGCGUGCGGGAUGACGGCCUUCGUGUUGUAAACCGCUUUCGCCUGUGACGAAGCGUGAGUGACGGUAAUGGGUAAAGAUGCACCGGCUAACUACGUG